AGGGUUGCAGACAGCAUUUGUCUGUCCCUUGGGCUUGCUCACGCUUCUUCCCUGCCUCAGGCAGCAUGGUGAUUCAGCUGCUACCUUACUAAAUUCUCUGGGCUCUAAUCUAAACACCUGCUUUCUCUCCCCAGCUCAGUUCUGUGCAGGCAGGCCUGAUCCUUGGGACAGCAGGUUUCCCAAGAGUACAUUUUAUUAGCAGAGUCACUGUAGAGCUGGGUAUCUGGGUCCAUGUGUGCAUCGCUGGCCAAGCCAGUAGCACUGGAAAGGAUUUUCCCUGUAUGACUUUACCCCAGGGGAAGAGAGGGAGGAGAUGUAAGCUGGGCAUCCUUAAAAGCCUAAUACUUCCUAUGUGUGUGCCUCUCCGAUAUGUUUUUGGCUGAUGAUCCCAGUACAGGCCAUGCUAUUCAGACUGCCUACACAGAUAGCUUGUCUUAACUUGGCCAACAUGACCUUUGCUCAUGUCACCUCAUGUUCUGUAAUGCUGAGAUAAGAGUAUCAGCAGGAGUCUGUCUGCAUUAACAGCUAAGUGAUACUAAAAGUAAAGAACUGGGAACAUACCUAGGGUAGAUAAAACUGGUUUGGUGUCUUUGACAAAGAAAGUUGUUACAUGUUUUCCUCAGAGUUUCACAGGGCUGCCAGGACAUGUGUGCCUAACCAAGGGCACUGUCAUCAGAAGCUGAUAUUGGUGCCCCAGAUGGAUGUUCAUGGCCUUUUGCUGGGGCUUGGAUAGGGAGAGAAAGAAAGGGAGGCACUGGCUCACUAAUUGAGAGGCAUUCUCUCUCUGCUGCCUUUCUGCUGCUCAAAGGGGAAGGCAGAACCCGUGCCUGAUGAGAGCCUCUCGCCUGUGCUGAGACCCCUCUUAAAAGCUGCUAAACAUUAAAAAAUAAGAAAGAAAAGAAUUCUGUGAACACUUUGAUAGUCCUCACAAGAAAGUGAAACAGAAGAGCAUUUGAGCUGCACAUAAGAAAACCUCUGUAUAUUGGUAGGGGAAGAAAGGCUGGUGAAGCUGAAAUCUGGCAACAGUUCCCAGCUGGUGAGGGAGGUGCUUUGGUGCUUUUCUGCUGCAAGCUCCUGUCAUGACUGAUGAAGAGACAGAGAGGAAAAGCACAGAAUCCUCUGUAGGCACCUCCAUGUCUUUCACUCCUCAGCCUGCACAAUUUUUUCCCCCUGGCACAUUGUCAGUCAGUGAGCCUGGAGGAGGGAAAGAGAGGCUUGCCAGAGGAAGUGUGAGGAAAAUACAUCUGCAAAGGUAAGAGAGAAAAAAGCAAGCAGCAGUUGUGACUCGAGCUGCCUGCAAAUCCCUAGAGGGACUGGAGGACUGCUGAAAACAUCUCCACUGAAGCAGCUCGCUCCUGAGAAUGCCUUGUGUCACUGCAACAGGCUUGACACCAGCACUCCCAGACCAGAGCCCUGAGGACCUCUCAGCCCUGACAGCUGCCAGAGACACUUACCUUAAGCCAAAGCAGGCAACAGGGUUAACAUCCUUCCCCUUUGGGGGGCUGGAAACAUUCCCUGGAGCCUGGUUCCUCCAAGUCAGGCCAUACAUAGCAGCAACAGAUAAUGAUAAAGAUUCGUCUUGGGGCACAGGUCUUCUCUGUAUAUAUUCCUGCUUUAAUACAAAAUAGCUCAAGAAAUAAAGCUGUUUCGUGCCUGCAGCCAAGGCCAAGGCUCCUUGCAGCAGCCAAGGACCAUGGAUAGGUACAAGACAGCCCCUGUGGCAGCUGGAUAGUCCAGAGCAGACAGAUGAAGCUGCACUCCCUGCCCACCUGACUCCCAGCACCAGUGGCUGCAAGCUUUACAGAAGAGAGCUCUGGUUGUUCUGACAUUUAGAAUAGAUUAAAAAUCGUUACAGGUUCUUCUGGAACAGUUUAGAAGGUGAAGCUAUUGAUUUUAAAACUCAACAUCAGUUUUGUAAAAGAGUUGAAACCUUCCUGGUUUCCACCUGUGAACACCAGUGCCUGGCCAUGGCUGACAGCAGGAGUACAUUUAUCACACCGCUCUC